AGUGAACGCUGGCGGUAGGCCUAACACAUGCAAGUCGAACGGCAGCACAGUAAGAGCUUGCUCUUACGGGUGGCGAGUGGCGGACGGGUGAGGAAUAAAUCGGAAUCUACUUUUUCGUGGGGGAUAACGUAGGGAAACUUACGCUAAUACCGCAUACGACCUACGGGUGAAAGCAGGGGAUCUUCGGACCUUGCGCGAUUGAAUGAGCCGAUGUCGGAUUAGCUAGUUGGCGGGGUAAAGGCCCACCAAGGCGACGAUCCGUAGCUGGUCUGAGAGGAUGAUCAGCCACACUGGAACUGAGACACGGUCCAGACUCCUACGGGAGGCAGAGGUGGGGAAUAUUGGACAAUGGGCGCAAGCCUGAUCCAGCCAUACCGCGUGGGUGAAGAAGGCCUUCGGGUUGUAAAGCCCUUUUGUUGGGAAAGAAAAGCAGCAGGUUAAUACCCCGCUGUUCUGACGGUACCCAAAGAAUAAGCACCGGCUAACUUCGUG
rnacentral:rRNA from 1 species